GACGAACGCUGGCGGCGUGCUUAACACAUGCCAGUCGAACGGAAAGGCCCUGCUUUUGUGGGGUGCUCGAGUGGCGAACGGGUGAGUAACACGUGAGUAACCUGCCCUUGACUUUGGGAUAACUUCAGGAAACUGGGGCUAAUACCGGAUAGGAGCUCCUGCUGCAUGGUGGGGGUUGGAAAGUUUCGGCGGUUGGGGAUGGACUCGCGGCUUAUCAGCUUGUUGGUGGGGUAGUGGCUUACCAAGGCGUUGACGGGUAGCCGGCCUGAGAGGGUGACCGGCCACAUUGGGACUGAGAGACGGCCCAGACUGCUACGGGAGGCAGCAGUGGGGAAUAUUGCACAAUGGGCGGAAGCCUGAUGCAGCAACGCCGCGUGCGGGAUGACGGCCUUCGGGUUGUAAACCGCUUUCGCCUGUGACGAAGCGUGAGUGACGGUAAUGGGUAAAGAAGCACCGGCUAACUACGUG
rnacentral:rRNA from 1 species